AUCGCGUCGCCCCCCCAACACCGUGCAUGAAACACUGCCGGUUGUCGGAGGGACGGAUAUUGGCUUCCCGUGCUUCGGUGCGGCUGGCCUAAAUGUAAGUCCCUUGCGACGGACACGACGACAAGUGGUGGUUGAUUGCUUCAACUCAGGUGCUGUCGGACGUUGACCCGUCGUAUGAGGAGACUUCCUUGACCCUAAUGCAUGCGUCGUCACGACGCCUGCCACGACCGC
rnacentral:rRNA from 1 species